UUAGAGCUGUUAUUAACAUAUUAGUAGAAUUGAUUUUAACUUCAAAUUUAUUAUGUUAAAAAUUAUUGAUGAAGUGAGAAAUAUAGGCAAAUAUGUACAGUUAAAUUUAAUAUUUAAUAUAUUUAAGCUUAUAUUUAGUUAUUCAGAGAAUUUGCAUCUUUUUUAGUUCUAAAAAGUCAAAUGAAUUCUUCACUUGUACUCCCAUUGAUCUUAGAAUACCUAUGUUGUGAUAAUUGUGAUAUUGCAAUUAUUGUUUGUAUAUUUCUCUUCAUUUAAAAAAAAAUCUUUCUUAGGGCUUAUUUUAUAUUAAAGGCACCUGGCACAUAGUGCUUGAACAAAUCAUUGCUUUUGUUAUAAUUUUGCAAUAAUGUCAGUAACCAAAAAAUAUUAAUGAUUGUUAUCUCUGGAUGUUUGGAUUACAUUUCAUUUCUGUUUUUCUCUUAUGUAUUUCAAACUUCCUAUAGUCGUGGUUUAGUUACAACAGCUUUAUUAGUUGCUGCACAGACUUUAAACAUCUUUAUUGUUACUCUGAUCUAAUUUUGUCAUAACAUGAGACCAUUACAGAUUUCAGUAGUUUUUCCUGUUGUUUAUGUCUAAUAACUGUAUUUAUUAAUACAUCUGCAAGAUACUGGUCUUUAUUUGGGUAUGAAAUGGUAGGUAUAUGUUUCUACACAUAGUUCUGAUUUACAGAAUAGUUUACAAAUUUUAGGAUUAAAUGAAUUUUAAAUUUCAGUAGUUAUCUUUAUGUCAGAAGGAAAUAACCUAAAUACCAAUGCCACUAAUCUUUUGACAGGCUUUUUUAGAUAUACAACUUUGAAACUUCUACAUUAUAUUGAAACUUCUACAUUAUGUUCUUCAAAAUCUAAUUUUUAAGUCUGAAAAUGCUUAAACUUCAAAAUAAAAUUAUUUCUGAAUUUAACUGUUAAUUUUUAGAAAAACAUACCUUAAACAUGUUUUAUUGCCUACUUGUGCUGGCUCAGUUAGAUGCUGGGAUCAUAAAGGUAUGUGAAGGAGACCCAGCAGCCCCUUCCUUCACUAGGCUGAAAAAGAUAUUAGCAGAGCAUAAACAUGAGUAAAGGCUUAUAGAUUUUCUUCCCAUUUAAAUCUUUUUGUACCUCUAGUAAUUCCAGUGAAUGUACCCUGGUUAUUAGAAUUGGGCUUUGUGAACCUAUUACCUUAUUAGUAAUUAAUAACUAAAAAUUGAGUAUCCCAGGCAUGGGCUUAGCAUUAUAUAGUAUAUGUUUUUACAUAUUACUGAAGUAAAUUCUCAUUAUAUUCUGCAUUUAAGAUAAAUUAUAUUACCUUCAUUUUAACGACAGGGAAACAGGUUUGGAAAAGUUAAAUAAUUAAUCCACAAUUAUAUAACUAGAAUAGUAAUUCAAAUGGACAUCUGUGUAUAUCCAGUGACAAAGCUCUUAACUACUAUCCAUAUUACCUUCCUUACCAGUCAGAUCCAAGCUUAUUCUAACAGGAAGGGAUUAAGAUCCACAGAGCUAAAGCUUAUUAGAAGUAAAACUAGAAGUGGAGCCCUGAUAUUGGGAUUUCCUUUCUUUCUAUUCUACUUUCUACCUCUACUUUCCUACUGUACUUGUCUUAUUUAAGUAUCAGAGUAUAUAUAUUGCAAAAGCAUGGAUUUGUUUUUAACUUAUUGGUAUGAACUAUUACUUACAGAUAUUUGAGAUGAUAAGUGCAAGAAUAUAGAAACAGAGGACAAAUUGUGACUUGAUCUCUUGUAAGCAUUAUACUUUUAUAACUAUAGUCAUCCCUCAGUAUCCAUGGGGGAUUGGUUCCAGCGCACCCCCCCACCCUAAGGAUACCAAAAUCCAUGGAUACUGAAGUGCCUUGUAUAAAAUGGCACAGAGUUUGCAUAUACCUAUGCAUAUCCUCCCUUAUACUUUAAAUCAUCUGAAUGUAAAUGCUAUGUAAAUAGUUGUUAUGCUACAUUUUUUUAGGGAAUAAUGACAAGGGGGAAAAGUCUAUACAUGUUCAGUACAGAGGAAACCAUCUUUUUUCUUUUCUUUUCCUUCUUUCUUUUUUUUUUAAAUAGUAACAGGCCCUGCUGUGUUGCCCAGGCUGGCCUUAAACUCCUGGGCUCAAACGAUCCUCCUGCCUCAGCUUCAGAGUAGCUGGGACUACAGUCACAUGCCACCACUGUGCCUGGCUCCUUGGCCAUCUUUAUGUUUUUCUGAAUAUUUUUUAUCUGUGGUUGGUUGAGUCCAUGGAUGCAGAACCCACAGAUACCCAGGGCCGACUGUACACUAUUUGAAUUGUGACCAUAAAUAUUUUGGGGUGGGCUCCCGCUCUCACAGCCAUUGCAGUACAUUGAGCUCCAUAGAGACAGCGCCGGGGCACGAGAGAGCCAGACGGGCACUGGGCAAGUCUGCGCCUCGCUGAGGAAAAAUAACUAAACAUGGGAAAAAGAGAGCCUAAGAAGCCGAGAGGCAAAAUGUCAUCAUAUGCAUUUUUUGUGCAAACUUGUCUGGAGGAGCAUUAGAAGAAGCACCCAGAUGUUUUAGUCAACUUCUCAGAGUUUUCUAAGAAGUGCUCAGAGAGGUGGAAGACCAUGUCUGCUGAAGAAAAAGGAAAAUUUGAAGUUAUGGCAAAGGCAGAUAAGGCCCGUUAUGAGAGAGAAAUGAAAACCUAUAUUCCUCCUAAAGGGGAGACAAAAAAGAAGUUCAAGGAUCCCAGUGCACCCAAGAGGCCUCCUUCGGCCUUUUUCCUGUUCUGCUCUGAGUAUCACCCAAAAAUCAAAGGAGAACAUCCUGGCUUGUCCACUGGUGAUGCUGCGAAGAAACUGGGAGAGAUUUGGAAUAACACUGUGGCAGAUGACAAGCAGCCUUAUGAAAAGAAAGCUGCAAAGCUGACGGAAAAAUACAAAAAGGAUAUUGCUGCAUAUCAAGCCAAUGGAAAGCCUGAUGCAGCCAAAAAACAAGAAAAAGAAGGAAGAGGAGGAAGAUGAGGAAAAUGAAGAGGAUGAGGAGGAAGAGGAAGAUGAAGAAGAUGAAGAUGAAGAAGAUUAUGAUGAUGAAUAAGUUGGUUCUAGCGCAGUUUUGUUUUCUUGUCUAUAAAGCAUUUAACCCCCCUGUACACAACUCACUUCUUUUAAAGAAAAAAAUUGAAAUGUAAGGCUGUGUAAGAUUUGUUUUUAAACUGUACAGUGUCUUUUUUUGUAUAGUUAACACACUACUGAAUGUGUCUUUAGAUAGCCCUGUCCUGGUGGUAUUUUCAAUAGCCACUAACCUUGCCUGGUACAAUAUGGGGUUGUAAAUUGGCAUGGAAAUUUAAAGCAGGUUCUUGUUGGGAACAGCACAAAUUAGUUAUAUAUGGGGGUGGUAGUUUUUUCAUCUUCAGUUGUCUCUGAUGCAGCUUAUACGAAAUAAUUGUUGUUCUGUUAACUGAAUACCACUCUGUAAUUGAAAAAAAAAAAAAAGUUGCAGCUGUUUUGUUGACAUUCUGAAUGCUUCUAAGUAAAUACAAUUUUUUUUAUUAGUAUUGUUGUCCUUUUCAUAGGUCUGAAAUUUUUCUUCUGGAGGGGAAGCUAGUCUUUUUGCUUUUGCCCAUUUUGAAUCACAUGAAUUAUUACAGUGUUUAUCCUUUCAUAUAGUUAGCUAAUAAAAAGCUUUUGUCUACGCAUCCUGCAUAUCAUAAUGGGGGUAAAGAAGAUGAGAUAGUUUUCAUCCAUAACUAAAAAUCCAAAAUCUUGAUCAGUUAAGAAAUUUCACAUAGCUCACUUACAUUUACAAACUGAAGAGUAAUCGAUCUACUCACAGCAUGGGACUGUUAGAAUCAAACAUUUUGAAAGUCUGUCCUUAAAGGGCUAAUAGAAAAGUAUGUUCUAACCUUUACAUGAGGACUCUAUUCUUUAACUCCCAUUACCAUGUAAUGGUAGUUAUAUUUUGCAGUUCCCACAUUAACGAAGACCUGAGAAUGUAUCCCCAAAAGCGUGAGCUUAAAAUACAAGACUGCCCUAUUAAAUUUUUUGUUGACAUUAGUCUCAGUGAAGACUAUGAAAAUGCUGGCUAUAGAUGUGUUUUCCCAUCAAAUAUGGACUGCUCAGGAAACAAGACUUUCCAUUAAAAGUAUUUUUAAUUCAUUGGGCCAGCUUUUAAAAUGAAGAUACCACAUUCAGAAUAGGGUAUAUUUUCCUAUAUUAUGGUUUGCCCCUUUAUAAAUCCAAGUAGAUAGGAGGAAAGAACACACUUAAACUUUGCAUCUGAGUAGGAAUUAUUCGAUUUAUUUGGAUGAUUUUUCUUUAAAACCCAAACUCAUUCAUUCGUCAUGUUUAUCUGCUUACCAGUUUAGGGAACAAUUUGGCAAUUUUGUGGUUUUUGAGAUUAUCGUUUUCUUAAAGUGCCAGUGUUUUAAAAUAACGUUCUUGUAAUUUUACAUGCUUUUGUGAUGGAGUGCUGUUUUGUUAUAUAAUUUUGACUUGGAUUCUUUCUAUUUGCAUUUGUUUAUGUAAUUUCAGCAGGAAUACGGAACAUCUGAGUCCUGGAUGAUACUAAUAAACUAAUAAUUGCAGAGGUUU